rnacentral:lncRNA from 1 species
CUCGUGUUUUCGUCGAAUCACGACGUGAGAAAAUGACUCGGGAGCGACCUCUCGCAGCGACACCCUCACGUCGCUCUCGAACCGGUCCAGGUAAGUUUUCUAACUCUAAACCCCGGUUUAAUUCAAGUAAACCGACCCUAACCACCCUAGACCGAACCGGACGACCCUAAACCUACCCCCAACCCCCGCGAAUCCAUCUCUCUCACUCUCCCCUCCUCUCACAAACUCUCAAACUCUCUCAAAC